CACACACACACACACAGGGAUAUACACAAUGUUUCUCACUCAUUUACAUAUAGAUGUACACAGACACAGGAAUUGCAAAUAAUACUACCUUAAAUUGCUUUAUAUUCACACACUAUAUCUUCAUAGAAGCAUUCACAAUCUCUCACACUUAGAAAAAAAUUAGACUUGUGCAUUUAUAUUUGGACAUUCUAUUCAACUGUUUGUCUUAAUAAUAAAUAUCUGAAUAGCUAAAUGAACAAAUCAAAUGAUGAAUGCAUUGCAUAAUGGACACAAUUUCAUGCAGUUCAUUCAUUUGUUGAUUCGGAGAAGGCGCUUAAAAAUUGCAACAAAUAAUCAGAAUAGAAAGAGAGUUUUUUUUUGUUUGGCAAUCAUCUUCUUAACCCCUUAAUGUCAGAGGCAAUUGUACAAGUUCUGACCAAAAACAAAACCUAGAAUUUGACCUAUAUGUCUUUUUAACCAUAAUUUACCUCUUUCAUAU